rnacentral:rRNA from 1 species
UACGGAGGGGGCUAGCGUUGUUCGGAAUUACUGGGCGUAAAGCGCGCGUAGGCGGACCUGCAAGUCGGGGGUGAAAGCCCGAGGCUCAACCUCGGAACUGCCUUCGAUACUGCGGGUCUCGAGUCCGGGAGAGGUGAGUGGAAUUCCUAGUGUAGAGGUGAAAUUCGUAGAUAUUCGGAGGAACACCAGUGGCGAAGGCGGCUCACUGGCUCGGUACUGACGCUGAGGCACGAAGGUCAGGGGAGCAAACGGG